rnacentral:rRNA from 1 species
UACAGAGGGUGCGAGCGUUAAUCGGAAUUACUGGGCGUAAAGCGUGCGCAGGCGGCGGCUCAAGUCAGGUAUGAAAUCCCCGGGCUUAACCUGGGAAUUGCGCUUGAAACUAGGUCGCUAGAGUGUGGCAGAGGGGGGGUGGAAUUCCACGUGUAGCAGUGAAAUGCGUAGAGAUGUGGAGGAACACCGAUGGCGAAGGCAGCCCCCUGGGUCAACACUGACGCUCAUGCACGAAAGCGUGGGAGCAAACAG